rnacentral:lncRNA from 1 species
AUGUUUGGAAAAAAACGGGAUUUUUGGAAAAAAUGGGAUUUUUGGGAGGGGGCUUUUAAACAAAAUGGGAUUUUUGGGAAAAAAAAUGGGAUUUUGGGGAGGGGAUUUUUAGGAAAAAAAUGGGAUUUUUUGGGAAAAAAAUGGGAUUUUUGGGAGGGGAUUUUUAGGAAAAAAACUGGAUUUUUGGAUAAAACGGGAUUUUUGGGAGGGGAUUUUGGAAAAAAUUGGCGGUUUUGGGAGGGAAUUUUGGAAAAAAUGGGAUUUUUGGGGGGGAAUUUUGGAAAAAAUGGGAUUUUUGGGGGAAUUUUGGAAAAAGGGGAAUCGGGUUUUGCACCGGGGUUUUCCCUCAUCUUUUGGGAAUUUGGGGAGUUUUUCCCGGGUUUUUUUCCCAUUUUCCUCCUUUUUUCUCCCAUUUUGCCUCCCUUUUCCCCCAUUUUCCUUUUCCCAUUUUCCUCCUGUUUUACCCCAUUUUUCUCUCCCUUUUUUCCCCAUUUUCCAUUUUUUUCCCCAUUCCCUUUUUCCCCUUUUCCCCCAAUUUUCCCCUUUUUUUCCUAUUUUUUCCCCUAUUUUUCCCUCCUUUUUUCCCCAUUUCCCCCCCAUUUUUCCCUUCCCCCCUUAUUUCCCUUUCCCCCAAUUUUCCCCUUUUUUCCUAUUUUCCCCCCAUUUUCCCUUUUCCCCCCUUUUCCCCCCAUUUUUCCUUUUUUCCCCUAUUUCCCCCCCAUUUUUCCCUCCCUUUUUUCCCCAUUUUCCCUUUUUCCCCCCACUUUCCCCCCACUUUCUCCCUUUUUCCCCAUUUCCCCCCAAUUUUCCCUUUUUUUACUAUUUUUCCCCCAUUUCUCCUCCCAUUUUCCCUUUUCCCCCCGUUUUUCCCCUUUCCCCCUAUUUUUCCAUCCCUUUUUUCCCCAUUUUCCCUUUUUCCCCCAUUUUCCCCAUUACCCCUUUUCCUUUUUUUCCUAUUUUUUCCCUAUUUUCCCCAUUUUCCCUCCCUUUUCCCCCCAUUUUCCCUUUUCCCCCAAUUUUCCCAUUUUUUUCCUAUUUUUUCCCAUUUUCCCUCCCUUAUUCCCCGUAUUUUUUCCCUUUCCCCCAUUUCCCCCAUUUUUCCUUUUUUUUCUAUUUCCCCCGUUUUUCCCUCCCUUUUUUUCCCAUUUCCCCCCUUUCUUCCCUUUCCCUCAAAUUUCAUUUUUUUUCCUAUUUUUUUCCUAUUUCCCCCUCCUUUUUUCCCCAUUUUCCCUUUUCCCCAUUUUUUCCCUUUUCCCCCUUUUUCCCCAUUUCCCUCUUUCCCCCAUUUUUCCUUUUUUUCUAUUUUCCCCCCAUUUUCCCCCCACUUUCCCCCAAUUUUCCCCUUUUUUUCCUAUUUUUUCCCCAUUUUCCCCCAUUUUCCCCCCAUUCCCCCUCUUUUCUUUCCCCAUUUUCCCUCUUUUUCCCUCUUUUUUUCCUCUGUCCCCCCCUUUUUUUCCCUUUCUCCCCCCAUUUUUCCCAUUUUUCCCCAUUUUUUCCCAUUUUCCCCACCAACUCCUCCAGGCCCAUCCCAAUUUUUAA